AAAGAAACCAACAGGGAUUGCCUUAGUAGCGGCGAGUGAAGCGGCAAAAGCUCAAAUUUGAAAUCUGGCAUUUCAGUGUCCGAGUUGUAAUUUGAAGAAGGUAUCUUUGGGUCUGGCUCUUGUCUAUGUUUCUUGGAACAGAACGUCACAGAGGGUGAGAAUCCCGUGCGAUGAGAUGUCCCAGACCUAUGUAAAGUUCCUUCGAAGAGUCGAGUUGUUUGGGAAUGCAGCUCUAAGUGGGUGGUAAAUUCCAUCUAAAGCUAAAUAUUGGCGAGAGACCGAUAGCGAACAAGUACAGUGAUGGAAAGAUGAAAAGAACUUUGAAAAGAGAGUGAAAAAGUACGUGAAAUUGUUGAAAGGGAAGGGCUUGAGAUCAGACUUGGUAUUUUGUAUGUUACUCUCUCGGGGGUGGCCUCUACAGUUUACCGGGCCAGCAUCAGUUUGAGCGGUAGGAUAAGUGCAAAGAAAUGUGGCACUGCUUCGGUAGUGUGUUAUAGUCUUUGUCGAUACUGCCAGCUUAGACUGAGGACUGCGGCUUCGGCCUAGGAUGUUGCAUAAUGAUCUUAAGUC
rnacentral:rRNA from 1 species